GCUUAUGCUCGUCUGGUCCUUCACUGCCCCAAUUGCCUUUCUAAGCGUGCUUGGAGCCAUGAUGUUUCAGACUUGUAAGUCUCAAAAAUAUUUUAAUAUACUGCUGAUUAUUUUUCUCUUCAACUAUUCACAAGGAUGGCAGUAUUAACCUGAAAGAAAUGAAACAAAAACAACCCCCAAUGACUUCAAGAUUAAACAUGCAUGCAUGGUAUGUUACGUAAAAUCUCAUCAAAAACAGCAAAUUAAUUAAGGACGUAGUAGAACAUUAUUUUACACCUGUUGUACUGAAUUUUGUGGUAAAACAGAUGGAAAACUAUGAAAGACUCAGUUUUGCAACGAGGGAAUAGUUCAAAAGGAAGGAGAAUUUACUGGAGUUGGAGAAAGAAAAUGAAAAGGGAGAAAAUGAGAUAUGUGCAGCUCUUUCUUCUCUUUUUUCCUGAUUAAAAUUUUCGCUUUCUCCCUCUUGUUUUACUCUCUGCUUGAGUUGCUCCAAUAACCAUAGAAAUACCCUGUGCUUUAGCAGCAUAUUUCGGGAGGCUAAUGGAAAUAUUUUCAAAACAGAGUUACCACUUGCAAAUUUGUGAUGAAUGAAAAUUCUGUCUUAAAGCUUUUUUUUUUUUUCCCCUCGUUUCUGAAUUUUUGUGAAGAG
rnacentral:lncRNA from 1 species